rnacentral:rRNA from 1 species
UACGUAGGGUCCGAGCGUUGUCCGGAUUUAUUGGGCGUAAAGAGCUCGUAGGCGGUUCCGUAAGUCGGAUGUGAAAACUCAGGGCUCAACCCGGAGACGCCAUCCGAUACUGCGGUGACUGGAGUCUGGUAGGGGAUCACGGAAUACCUGGUGUAGCGGUGAAAUGCGCAGAUAUCAGGUGGAACACCGAUGGCGAAGGCAGUGAUCUGGGCCAGUACUGACGCUGAGGAGCGAAAGCGUGGGGAGCAAACAGG